CAAUCUGCCGAGAAGUGGGGGAUAGCUCGCCGAAAGGCGAAUUAAUACCGCAUGUGAUGAGAGGCGACAUCGUCUUGAAAUCAAAGCCGGGGCAACCUGGCGCUUUUUGAGGAGCCCGCGGCCUAUCAGCUAGUUGGUGAGGUAACGGCCCACCAAGGCUUUGACGGGUAGCUGGUCUGAGAGGACGACCAGUCACACUGGAACUGAGACACGGUCCAG
rnacentral:rRNA from 1 species